GUGCUUGCUUCGGCAGCACAUAUACUAAAGUUGGAAUGAUACAGAGGUUAGCAUGGCUCCUGCACAAGGAUGACACUUACUGUUCCACCCCAAGACUGUUUU